ensembl:lincRNA
UUCGUAAAUACACUAUUUUCUCGUCAUGGACGAAGAUCGUCCAUGACGGACGUGACGUAACGGCACGUGACGAAAUAUCGGAAGUUGUUGUUUUUUUUGUUAGUUCGUUUGUUUGUUUUUUAUUCUUCUUCCUUUUCUUGUUCUUCUUCUUCUGGUGAAGACAAAACCUUUAGGACGCUGCUCUUGGACACAUUUGUCCUUGUUGAAGGUAGGGGGCGGGGCAGAGUAGCACGUGACGGCGUGAGGUCAUUGAGAGGGCGGGGACAGCCGAGGGACGUCACAGUGACGCCACGCUGCACGUGCGGAGGAUGAACUUCAUACUCGGGCCUUCUCUGACCGUCAGUACCAAGGUAACGGUGAUGUUAUUGAGAUGUUUAAGACGAUGAAGGUAUUAUGUGGAGGGGUUUCAGCAGAAUGGACAGUGUAAGGACCAGAGGCCCACAGCGUGAGAGUAAACAAGAGUCGAGUUAGAAAAUCCUCCUCGGGAUCGCACGUUCGGCCACUUGCACGCGAGCGGCCGCGCUUCCGCAUGGCAACCAUCGUCAAGGGGCAACGGGCCCAGGUCGUAUUUGUUGGUGUUAAAAAAAACAAACAAACAACAUAACCCUAUUUAAUUUAUUUGUGCGUUGUCCACCAUGUCGGCUGUUUGGAAAGUUGAUUUCGAUCUCACGGAGCGCGAGGUGUGAGGUAGGGGGCGGGGCAGAGUAGCACGUGACGGUGUGAGGUCAUUGAGAGGGCGGGGACAGCCGAGGGACGUCACGUGACGCCAUGCUGCACGUGCGGAGGAUGAUCUUCAUACUCGGGCCUUCUCUGGCCGUCAGUACCAAGAAUUGAUGAACAAGCAAGAGUAUUGGGACGAGACUUCACUGCCAGUGGAACUUUCUAAACCACGGGAUCUGAAUAAACGAUCCUUGGUGGAUUUUUCACCACCAAUACCGUUUAAGAAUUUUUGUUCCAGCGAUCAAUCCUUCGAGGUCGACCCUGGCAGUACUGCACUGCGAAAAUCACAACAAGGAUUGUUUAGACCUCCUCCACCAUACCAUCCAAACAGUCAGGAGGGAAGUAACACAAUGGAUUACAGUUUGUCCAAUUUCUCUGGCAUGGUCAGACAGGUGACUCCAGUAGAUCAAAAGGAAGCGAAUGGCAUUAACUUCGACGCAAACCCUUCCACCUCUGCCGAGGCCACAGAAUUUUCGCCGAGUGCAGCACGUGCAGCCCACAUUGGCUCUGCCGAAGAGGUCUCCCCGAGGUCCUCUUCCUUGGUAUUUGAUGAUAUGCCUUCAAUGCAACAAAGCCAACAGCACUAUAGCAGUGCAGAUAGCAACAUCAGUAACCUUCCCGGUCUUGCACGGAUUGCCAGUGAAUGUCUACGACAUGUGCGCAUGGAGCACGAGAGAAAUGAACACUACCGUAUUAACAUGCUCAGGGAAUGGCGCUGUUUCCGUGAAGUCAUAGACCACAGACUGCUCAGAGCUAAUGAUCUCAUGCAAGGGAUGGCGGCUUCCCUGCACUCGUUGCAACGCCCUCUACAACAAGCGGCGGAAUAUGAGCAGGACUGGCAGCCUCUUGGCCACAAUACGCGUUUCCCUGCUGGGAGAGGCAUGCUUCAGACCCAUUCCCGAAGGGGUAUAAAACGCCGAGGAACCAGAAAUCGAGGAAGAGGUCAAACGGGUAUGGCGAAGAGCCAUUAUAAAACCAAGGAAUAGUUGCUGUUUUAAUUUUUGUGCUUCUUCUGCUGUUGUUUGACAUCUUUUUAAUAAAGUUUUUUUUUUGUGUUUUUUUGAAACAUCUGGAUUGGUGUCCCUGUCUCACAUAUUGCUCAGCUUGACGCCGUGGACACCAAGGCCUUCAAGGUCAUUGGAUUGUCCCAUGAUUAAUGUGAAUUUAUGGGCCUAUCACUUUGCCAUCGCAGGCAGGUCAGUGUUCUCUGUCCUCUUCUGCCUCCUUUCUGGUCUUGCACCCUCUGCCUUCUCCGUGCUUUGCCACCCUCGGUAUCUGCCGGGUACACAUGGUCCACCCUCAACUCCCUUUUCGUGAAACUACCUCACCCCAGGAAUACUUCUCAUCUCCACUUAUCCAUUCCUCCUGUUUUUUAACCCUGCCUGUGGAACAAACUUCCAUAUUCUUUUCAAUUUCAUUCCUCCCUCCAGGUCUUCAAGACAUCUGUUCACCAUCAUCCCAGAUUACCCCCUCCCCCAUCCAAAACCAUGAUCUCUUCUACUCCCGUUAAAGCACCCCCCCCCCAAAGUUUCGACUUUUUAUGCCUCUGCUGAUGAAGUUGUCGGAGGAAUUAUAUUUUCGAGUUGUCCCGUACGUACGUACAGUGGGGGAGAACAAGUAUUUGAUACACUGCCGAUUUUGCAGGUUUUCCUACUUACAAAGCACGUAGAGGUCUGUAAUUUUUAUCAUAGGUACACUUCAACUGUGAAAGACGGAAUCUAACACCAAAAUCCUGAAAAUCACAUUGUAUGAUUUUAAAAUAAUUAAUUUGCAUUUUAUUGCAUGAAAUAAGUAUUUGAUACAUCAGAAAAACAGAACUUAAU